GACAGUGGGUGCAAACGUUGUUCGGAAUUACUGGGCGUAAAGCGCGUGUAGGCUGCUCGGAAAGUCGGGUGUGAAAGCCCUGGGCUCAACCUAGGAAGUGCACUCGAAACUUCCGAGCUGGAGUGCUGGAGAGGAAGGCGGAAUUCUCGGUGUAGAGGUGAAAUUCGUAGAUAUCGAGAGGAACACCUGCGGCGAAGGCGGGUUGCUGGGCCGCCACUGACGCUGAUGCGCGAAAGCCAGGGGAGCGAACGGG
rnacentral:rRNA from 1 species